CGCACAAGCGGUGGAUGAUGUGGUUUAAUUCGAUGCAACGCGAAAAACCUUACCCACCUUUGACAUGGCAGGAACUUACCAGAGAUGGUUUGGUGCUCGAAAGAGAACCUGCACACAGGUGCUGCAUGGCUGUCGUCAGCUCGUGUCGUGAGAUGUUGGGUUAAGUCCCGCAACGAGCGCAACCCUUGUCAUUAGUUGCUACAUUUAGUUGGGCACUCUAAUGAGACUGCCGGUGACAAACCGGAGGAAGGUGGGGAUGACGUCAAGUCCUCAUGGCCCUUAUAGGUGGGGCUACACACGUCAUACAAUGGCUGGUACAAAGGGUUGCCAACCCGCGAGGGGGAGCUAAUCCCAUAAAACCAGUCGUAGUCCGGAUCGCAGUCUGCAACUCGACUGCGUGAAGUCGGAAUCGCUAGUAAUCGUGGAUCAGAAUGUCACGGUGAAUACGUUCCCGGGUCU
rnacentral:rRNA from 1 species